rnacentral:rRNA from 1 species
CCUACGGGAGGCAGCAGUGGGGAAUUUUGGACAAUGGGCGAAAGCCUGAUCCAGCCAUUCCGCGUGAGUGAAGAAGGCCUUCGGGUUGUAAAGCUCUUUCGCAAGGGAAGAAAACUUAGAUACUAAUAUUAUCUGAGGUUGACGGUACCUUGAUAAGAAGCACCGGCUAACUACGUGCCAGCAGCCGCGGUAAUACGUAGGGUGCGAGCGUUAAUCGGAAUUACUGGGCGUAAAGCGUGCGCAGGCGGUUUUGUAAGUCAGAUGUGAAAUCCCCGAGCUCAACUUGGGAACUGCGUUUGAAACUACAAGACUAGAAUAUGUCAGAGGGGGGUAGAAUUCCACGUGUAGCAGUGAAAUGCGUAGAGAUGUGGAGGAAUACCAAUGGCGAAGGCAGCCCCCUGGGAUAAUAUUGACGCUCAUGCACGAAAGCGUGGGGAGCAAACAGGAUUAGAUACCCUGGUAGUCCACGCCCUAAACGAUGUCUACUAGUUGUUGGUGGAGUAAAAUCCAUGAGUAACGCAGCUAACGCGUGAAGUAGACCGCCUGGGGAGUACGGUCGCAAGAUUAAAACUCAAAGGAAUUGACGG